AGCUGGGAUUUCAAAUGUAAUUUUAUGUCUAAAAUUUAAACGUGGACACUUAAAAUUUAAUUUUGAAACCAUAUGUCCACGAGGAGUCAAUUUCUUGGUUAACAAUUUUAUACAACAGAACUUGAGACUCAACGGCCGACAUAGGUUUUAUCAAAACAUCAAAAUAUUCCAAAGAAUAUACGGUCAAUUUUAUAAAUAUGACGCCCGUAAUGCGGACUACAAACAGUAGAGGCAUACUCUAGAAUAGAUCUAACAAAUGCAUUAUACAAGUGUGUGAGUGGAAGGAUGCUUGAACUCUUUGGAUAUCCUGAGCACAAAUCCCAACAUACGAUAUGCUUUGCUAGCUAUAUAAUCAACGUGCUCAUCAAAGAGUAAUUUGGAGUUGAUAGUAACUCCAAGAUCUUUUACCACAUCGACCCUCGAUAUCACUUCGCCGUUCAGUUUAUAACAAUAGUUUAUACAAAAAUGCUUUCUACUGAAAGUUAUUACAUUACACUUUUUUAAAUUUAUAAAUAAAGAGUUUACUGAACAAUAAUUACUAACUCGAUGUAGGUCAUUCUGAAGGUCUAUACAGUCAUUAGUCUUUAAUUAUCUUGAAAAUUUUAUUGUCAUCCAUGUAUGGAAAUUGGAGCGAAAACUUAAGGAAGUAAAACUUAAACCGUCAAUCCAAAAACAAACAAUUCCCAAGUUUUACUACGGUUUAAGUUUAAAAAUCUUCUUUCAAUGUUUCCAAUAAAAUCCUGCCGCAUACUUUCCACCAAUGGCAUAAUAGUGGCUUUAAUAAGUCCUAUAGUGAUAGUAAUAUGCUGCCUGACUUGAUCUAUGGCUGCCUGUUAUCAACUUUUGUCCACUCAAUUCCCGUGUCACUUCCUGACACGGAUGUAAAAUGACACACAAUUCUUGGAUUAUACACCACUCGUAUCCUGAUAUGGCAUCUAUUCCAAUGUUGACCAUUGCACUGUUAAGUGGUUCUUUGAGUUCCACACAUCUUUGGAACAUAAUAAUAUAAUAAAUGGAAUUUCACCUCCUUUGAACCUCUUGAACUAGCCGUUUCAGUGUGGUACCUGCUUGUUCUUGGUACUUUUUCAAUUGUUCCCAAGCGACAUUGUUCUCUUUGAAGUGCCGUACUAUCCCUUUUAUUUUAGAAAGUAGCUCUGCCAUAUCGGGGUUUUUUCAAAAUGUCGUUGACCGCUAAAUUUAGGGUGUGACUGUUGCAAGGAAAAUGUUUCCAUCCAAGUUCCCUUUCGAUUACACUUUUAAUAUUUGCACCGUUGUCUGAUACGGCUAAGAGUAUUAUAUCCGCUACUUUCCACUCCUCGCAUAUUAUGCUUUUUGCUGUCAGCCAAAUUUUUUGCUGUAUAGAUGUUCAAAAAAGGCAUACAUUCUAGAAGAAAUGACUUCAGAGCAAAUUCUUCCUCCUCAAUAUAAUGUCCAGCCACAGCCAGCAUGGAAUCGUUUGCGCGGGAUGUCCACAUAUCAACAGUGAUACAAAGUGACUUCACUUCUGUACGGACACUUUCUUUUGACUGUGCCUUGACCUUCUCAUACACGGCCAGUAGCAUACUGUUUGAAAGAAAAAAUCUGGUGUAUAAUGAGGAAACGCGUAAUUCAUUAACUCGCGAAAACCGCGAUCCUCAACAAUUCUAAAUGGUUGGAAAUCCAUUAUAAUUAGAUUCACGAUUUUUUUAAAUCUAUUUGUCUUUAUAUUGAAAUUUUUUUUGUACAUAGUUUGUUAUUGGCUGGUGGCCAAGUCCUCCUUGAUGGUAGUGGCUGUG
rnacentral:misc_RNA from 1 species